rnacentral:rRNA from 1 species
UAAGACGAACCGUACGAACGUUAUUCGGAAUUACUGGGCUUAAAGGGUGCGUAGGCUGCGCAGUAAGUUGGGUGUGAAAUCCCUCGGCUUAACCGAGGAACUGCGCCCAAAACUACUGUGCUCGAGGGAGACAGAGGUGAGCGGAACUUAGGGUGGAGCGGUGAAAUGCGUUGAUAUCCUAAGGAACACCCGUGGCGAAAGCGGCUCACUGGGUCUCUUCUGACGCUGAGGCACGAAAGCUAGGGUAGCGAACGGG